ACAAGAUGAAACGGAGAGGACACACUCCUAAAUGGAGACAGAAUUCAGCCAAAGACAACCUUUAACAGAUGUGGGCAGGACAAGUACUCACGAGCCAAGACAGGAGGAGGCAGUCAUUUCUCCUCCAGCAACAAGACCACGUGGCCCAGUUCCUAGGGGUCGUGGAAGGAGAUCUCUUCGUGAGGUCAUGCCCGUGGUCGCCGUGGGACUGUUUCCAGAAGCCACUCGG